rnacentral:rRNA from 1 species
UGGGGAAUUUUGGACAAUGGGGGAAACCCUGAUCCAGCCAUCCCGCGUGUGCGAUGAAGGCCUUCGGGUUGUAAAGCACUUUUGGCAGGAAAGAAACGUCGCGGGUUAAUACCCCGCGAAACUGACGGUACCUGCAGAAUAAGCACCGGCUAACUACGUGCCAGCAGCCGCGGUAAUACGUAGGGUGCAAGCGUUAAUCGGAAUUACUGGGCGUAAAGCGUGCGCAGGCGGUUCGGAAAGAAAGAUGUGAAAUCCCAGAGCUUAACUUUGGAACUGCAUUUUUAACUACCGGGCUAGAGUGUGUCAGAGGGAGGUGGAAUUCCGCGUGUAGCAGUGAAAUGCGUAGAUAUGNGGAGGAACACCGAUGGCGAAGGCAGCCUCCUGGGAUAACACUGACGCUCAUGCACGAAAGCGUGGGGAGCAAACAGGAUUAGAUACCCUGGUAGUCCACGCCCUAAACGAUGUCAACUAGCUGUUGGGGCCUUCGGGCCUUGGUAGCGCAGCUAACGCGUGAAGUUGACCGCCUGGGGAGUACGGUCGCAAGAUU